UGGAAGGCCAAGGUGAUGGACAGGAGCU
rnacentral:piRNA from 1 species